CAUGUCUUUUUGAUUAUAAUUUAAAGUCUAACCUGCCCUAUGAUUAUAAAAAUUAAAUGGCCGCGAUAUUUUGAUCGUGCAAAGGUAGCAUAAUCAUUAGUUUCUUAAUUAGGAACUGGUAUGAAAGGUUGAACGAGAAAAGGACUGUCUCAAUUUAAAUUAAAUUAGAAUUUUAUUUUUAAGUAAGAAAGCUUAAAUUUAUUUAAAAGACGAGAAGACCCUAUAGAGUUUUAUAUUAAAUUAAUUUAAAAUAAAUUUAAGAAUUAUUAUUUUUUUAUAAUUAGCUUAGUAUUUAAUUGGGGUGAUUAAAAAAUUUAAAUAACUUUUUUUAUUUUUAAACAUUGAUAUAUGAAUAUAUGAUCCAUUUUUUUUAUGAUUAAAAGAUUAAAUUACCUUAGGGAUAACAGCGUAAUUUUUUUUAAGAGUUCUUAUCGAAAAAAAAGUUUGCGACC
rnacentral:rRNA from 1 species